UAAUUAAAAAUAUAUCUUAGAUAAAUCUCAAUCAAGUUCUAAUUUAAUCAUAGUUGAAAUCCUAAUAUAUUUCAAUAAAAUUCUAGAAAAACUCUAAAUCCUAAACCAAAACAUAAAUCAAACCUUAGACAAAUCUUAAAUCCUAAAGCAAAUCCUAAAUCAAAUCCUAAAUAAAACCUUAGACAAAUCCUAAAUCCUAAACCAAAUCCUAAAUUAUACCUUAGAUAAAUCCUAAACUUUAAACCAAAUCCUAAAUUAAACCCUAAAAAAUUCCUAAAUCCUAAAUCAAAUCUUAAACCAAAUCCUAAACCAAAUCCUAAAUCUUAAAGCAAACCCUAGAUCAAAUUCUAGAUUCUAAAUCAAAUCCUAAACCAAAUCCUAGACAAUUCCUAAAUCCUAAACUAAAACCUAGACAAAUCCUAAAUUCUAAAUUCUAAAUCAAAUCCUAGAAAAAUCCUAGAAAAAUUUCAAAUCCUAAACUAAAUUCUUGAUAAAUCAUAAAUCCUAAAUCAAAUCCUAAAUAAAUUUUAAAUUAUAAAUUCUAAAUCAAAUCUUAGAAAUUUUUUUAAAAAAAAUUAAAUCCUAAACCAAAUCCUAAAUCAAAUCUUAGAUCUUAAUCCAAAUUCUAAACCAAACCCUACACAAAUCCUAAAUCCUAAAUCCUAAACCAAAUCCUUAAUAAAUUCUAAAUUCUAAACUAAAUCCUAAAAAAACCUUAAAAAAAUCUCAAAUCCUAAAUCAAAUCCUAAAUAAAUUCUAAAUACUAAACC
rnacentral:lncRNA from 1 species